UACGGAAGAUGCGAGCGUUAUCCGGAUUUAUUGGGUUUAAAGGGAGCGUAGGCGGGCUUUAAGUCAGCGGUUAAAUGUCAGCGCCCAACGUUGGCAUGCCGUUGAAACUGGGAGUCUUGAAUACACACAAGGAAAGUGGAAUUCGUCGUGUAGCGGUGAAAUGCUUAGAUAUGACGAAGAACUCCGAUUGCGAAGGCAGCCUUCUGGGGUGCGAUUGACGCUGAGGCUCGAAAGUGCGGGUAUCAAACAG
rnacentral:rRNA from 1 species